rnacentral:rRNA from 1 species
AGCGAACGCUGGCGGCGUGCCUAACACAUGCAAGUCGAACGUGAAAAGGUAAACCUGAGUAAAGUGGCGUACGGGUGUGUAACGCGUAGGUAAUCUACCCCAGAAUCUUUAAUAACCUGCCGAAAGUCGGGCUAAUACUUGAUAGAGCGAGGGAACUCGUAAGAGAUUUUUUCGUGAAAGGGAUCCCGCAAUGGCCUUCUUUCUUGGAUGAUCCUGCGUCUCAUUAGCUAGUUGGUAAUGUAACGGCUUACCAAGGCGAUGAUGAGUAGCUGGUCUGAGAGGAUGAUCAGGCAAAAUGGGAAUGGAACAAGGGCCAGAAGAAUAAGGGAGGCAGCAGUGGGGAAUCAUGAGAAAAGGAGGAAAGUCAGAAGAAGACAAGACGGGGGAGUGAAGAAGGAAUUAGGGUUGGAAAGAGCUGUCGGAUGGGAAGAAAAUCAUGAAAGUGAAAAGCUAGGAGGAGUGACGGUACCAAAAAAGGAAGCAACGGCUAACUACGUG